UCAGGCUUUAAUGUGGACGUGCGCGUGGACUCCAUAGUUGUGACAAGUAAGAAAAUAUUCUAGCAAGAUUAGUGGUGUUUAAGAAUAAAUAUGACUAAUAAAUUGAGUUCAAAUUCAGUUCAGAAUGUUGCCUGAUGAAGAUAAGCCUUAUAUUGUACUUCUUCAAAAACAUAACCGGUCUGUGUGUGUGUCUGUUAUUUUCCAGGUGCGCCUAACUCAACAGGCAUCCCCCAGUUCCGCACCAAUGAGACGUUUACGGCUGAUCUUUUGAAUUCCACUUCCGACGCCUUCCGUACCAGAUCCUCACUCCUCAAAAGAGAGCUUGAGCCGUUUUUCUUUGAAGACUUCCAGCCAGAUUUCAUCAGCCUCACACCAAGAAGCUUCAGCAAUGGAUCAAUUAUUCACAUGACGGACAUUAACGUGCCAUUCAACACCACAUUCCCCAAUGACGCGCAGAUUAUAGCCACCUUGACCAGAGCAGCGUUGAGUGGAAAUUUGUCAAUUACCAUCACCUUCAUCAAUGGCACAGGUAGGCAGACGUGCUACAGCUCCAAACAGGGCCUUAUUAUAGAAGGGGAAACUGUUCAAUAAGAGUGUGCCCUCAACAGCAAAAGCAAUAUCAGUUUGUUUGGGAUGAUCAAGAUGGUAAUGAUAUAGUUAGUGUAGUUGAAGUAAUGGAGCAACACUAUCAGAUAUAUUCAUAAAAAGGUAAUACAUAGCUUACAAAUGUAACUCUAACAAUGAUUAUCUCCUCUGUUG
ensembl:lncRNA